rnacentral:rRNA from 1 species
CGUAGGGUGCGAGCGUUAAUCGGAAUUACUGGGCGUAAAGCGUGCGCAGGCGGUUAUGUAAGACAGUUGUGAAAUCCCCGGGCUCAACCUGGGAAUUGCAUCUGUGACUGCAUAGCUAGAGUACGGUAGAGGGGGAUGGAAUUCCGCGUGUAGCAGUGAAAUGCGUAGAUAUGCGGAGGAACACCGAUGGCGAAGGCAAUCCCCUGGACCUGUACUGACGCUCAUGCACGAAAGCGUGGGGAGCAAACAGGAUUAGAUACCCUGGUAGUCCACGCCCUAAACGAUGUCAACUGGUUGUUGGGUGCAUUAGUACUCAGUAACGAAGCUAACGCGUGAAGUUGACCGCCUGGGGAGUACGGCCGCAAGGUUG